GAAUAUUAUAUAUAUAGCAUCAUUAUCAUUAAAUAUGUUUCAACACCUAUUUUUUAUUUGUUUAUAUCAAUAAGGUGAUUAUCCCAAAACAAACAAACACAUAAGAAAUAAAAAAAAAAAAAAAAAAAAAAAAAAAAAAAAAAAAAAAAAAAAAAAAAAAAAGGGUAAGCUAACAUGCACAAGAUUUUUAUGAAACAAACAUAAAAAUAUUAUUAUACAUCACUUUUUCAUCAAAACAACUAUAUCAC
rnacentral:lncRNA from 1 species